AGCGAACGCUGGCGGCAGGCCUAACACAUGCAAGUCGAACGAACCUUUCGGGGUUAGUGGCGGACGGGUGAGUAACAUGUGGGAACGUGCCUUUAGGUUCGGAAUAACUCAGGGAAACUUGUGCUAAUACCGAAUGUGCCCUUCGGGGGAAAGAUUUAUCGCCUUUAGAGCGGCCCGCGUCUGAUUAGCUAGUUGGUUGAGGUAACGGCUCACCAAGGCGACGAUCAGUAGCUGGUCUGAGAGGAUGAUCAGCCACAUUGGGACUGAGACACGGCCCAAACUCCUACGGGAGGCAGCAGUGGGGAAUCUUGCGCAAUGGGCGAAAGCCUGACGCAGCCAUGCCGCGUGAAUGAUGAAGGUCUUAGGAUUGUAAAAUUCUUUCACCGGGGACGAUAAUGACGGUACCCGGAGAAGAAGCCCCGGCUAACUUCGU
rnacentral:rRNA from 1 species